UACGUAGGGGGCAAGCGUUGUCCGGAAUCAUUGGGCGUAAAGAGCGUGUAGGCGGCCAGAUAAGUCCGCUGUGAAAUCUCGAGGCUCAACUUCGAGCUGUCGGUGGAAACUGUCUGGCUAGAGUCCGGAAGAGGAGAAUGGAAUUCCUGGUGUAGCGGUGAAAUGCGCAGAUAUCAGGAAGAACACCCGUGGCGAAGGCGGUUCUCUGGGACGGUACUGACGCUGAGACGCGAAAGCGUGGGGAGCGAACGGG
rnacentral:rRNA from 1 species